GAUCAUCUGACGGUUCCCUGGUAAGUGAUUGCUAUUUCUUCUCCUUUUUCUCCUCCACCAGUUGAUCAAUUUUUUUUUUCUUUGUAGCUGCUGGUAGGGGUAAAUUAGGGUCUUUGACAUAGUCAAGGUCUAUUGGCUCCCACUAGUAGAAAAACAUAAAUAGGCACUGAAUAAAUGGCACUAGUUUUUAAGAACCGGUGGUAAAAAAAAUUAGGCGGAAUCAGUAUAAAAGAAAUGCCACUAGUUCAAACCAAACCGGUGUCAAAUUGGUGAAAUGGCACAGGUUUGAACCGGUGGCAAUUCAUUAAUGUAAAAAAAAAACGCCCCUUUAGUUUCUUUCUCUUUCCUCAAUCUCGAGUUCUCUCUCUCUUCUUUCUCCUGUCUCCUCAACUAAGAUCUCCCUCUUCUCUUUCUCUUUCCUCUCUCCUCAACUAGAUCUAGGGUUUCUGAUUUCUACUCCACCUCACCCUCGUACAUCUGCUUUUUCGGUGGCCGUCCCAAUCAAGUCCGAAACAAGGUUCUCUAUUCCGGCGGCUUCAACAGUUCAACAUGGUUGGUAGUACUGUAGCAUCGUUUAUUCCAGUGGCUGUCUGAGAUGUUAUCUAUAUUGAAGCGAACAAAGGGGCAGUUAAGUGGGUGGGAAUAAGUGAUGCUUUUUCCACAGAGUUCGACCUUGAGGCAAAGGAGUCUUUCCCACUUCCUAAAGGAGAAGUUCACAAAACAAAACAAAAAAAAAAAGGAAAUUGUGCAGGUUUGUGAUGUGAUUGUUUAGGUGUUUUGGAUUUAUUUUUGUUCUCCUCUAGCUUAAUUUGGGUGUUUUAGAUUUUUUUUGUUCUCCUUCAGCUUAAGUUCAUUGAGACAAAUUAUGAGCUUAAUUUGAGUGUUUUGUAUUUUUUUUGUUCUCAUUCAGCUUGGGAUUGUUUGGAAUGGUUUUGUGAGUAUACUAGUAUCAAAUGUGAUUUUGUUUUGUGCGAUUAUAAUAGUAUCUAUUUUGUUUUGUGAUUUUGUUUGGGAUUGUUAUGUUGGAUGAUUGCUUUGUUUGUAAUGAUGAUGAUUUUGCUACUUGGAUUUGAACAAGAUCUCGAAAAGAUGAUAUUUUUGGUUGUUUUGGUGGAUUGAUUGGUAUGAUAAUUGAUUUCUCUUUGUUCUUGGUGUGUUAAUUGAGGUUAUGUGUAUUAGAAUGAAUUUUUAGAAUUACUCUUUGUUUCCUUUUCUUUAGUUCCUGUAUUUUUUAGAGUGCGUGUUAUCAGGUUUAUGUAGCUACUCAUAACAAACUUAUGUAGGCGUUCGGCUUAAGAUGAGCACUGUAAUAUUUAUAGAGAUGAGCAGUGCAAUAACAAACUUUCUUGUGUCCUUAUUGAUUUGAAUGAUUUUGAGUCAAGUUUUGUGAUUUUACUGCAGUGAUAUACAGAUGGGAUAAUUGUAGAUCAGUUCCUGUUCUUAAUAAAAAGAAGACUAUAGCUAUGUAUGAACAACUUUACAUCUUUGUCAUAAAAUGUGGAAGUGUUAGUUUUAAGCUUGUGUAAAUGUGUAUUUGAUCCCUAUUGUGACUUGCCUAGAUGGGAGAACCUUAAAUUUUGAGCCCCGGGUUUUUGGAAAUAAGUAAUAUAUAGAAGUGGAGUUCAAAAGAGAACAUUCAUCAAAACCAAGUCUGACUCUAACAAUUGCACCAUUUUUUUUUCCUUCAUAGGACUACAACAGUACAACUCACUAGUAGUCAUGACUCAGUAAUUUUUUUAAUUUUCAAUAUGACUUUGAUUGUUUUUAAGUAAUGUUAAGUGUAUGGUAGUGGGUUUGGAUGCUUGUUAUUGGUUGUAUUAUGGGUAAAAUUCAAUUUAGAAUGUUGGCAUAAUACUUAGAUUAAAUAAAACAAUUGAAUAUUCUACUUUUGUAAAAUGAAAUUUAAAAAUUGAAAGAAUAAAGAAGCAUUUUAGGAAAAGUAGACUUCUAUUUAUGCAUUACAUUCCUGGAUCUGUUUAGCCGUUGCCUUGCAAGGCUGCUGCUGCAGCCGCUGCCUCGUAAGGCUGUUGCUGCAUGCUUCUACGCCCUGCUACUGUUCUGAUCUCCUGAUGUUGCUGCUAUGCUCUACGCCACUGCUGUAAUACUCUCGCUGCUGCUAAUCUGCUCUACACUACUGUUAAUUUGGUUCUGUUUUGCUGUCAUAUUUGCUUAUAAAAUUUUCAUUUUUGUAAUUUUUUUUUUAUUUUUUUUAUUGAGUUGUGCCUCAAAAUUUUGUUAUAACAUUCAUAGUUUCUGCGUAUUUCAAAAGACAAAAAGAAAGAUGAUUCUUGCAAAAAUCUGUUUUUUUUUUUUAAUGGAAUACUAAUAAUAAGAAAUUAAGAAUAAAGAGGUCCUAUUGGCUGUGGGAAUUCAGAAGGUUGGACAGUGAGAUAAGGGUAUGCACGUGUAUGUCUAAAAGCCUUACACUUGACUUAGUUGGUAGUUUGAGUUUACGUGUAUCAGUAUGUACCUCAUGCACAAUUUUGAGGGUGGAUGUAUUGGAGAGGUUUCGAGUGAUUCCAGUGAUAGGAGAAGGGUUUGAGCCUGUUUAUGUUCCUCAAUUGACGACAAAUAUGCAAGUUGGUUUGUUGGUAAGGAUUGAAGAAAGAAUCAAAAUUUGAAUGACCGAAUUGAAUUGUUGAAUUCUAAUGCUAUAUUGUCUUUUUAAGUCUAAUACAGAGUACAUUUUCGCCUUGAUUUCUCCUUUUCCGUAAAAAUGAUUAUUUAUUAUAAGCAGACUUUCAGGUAGUGUACCAAACUAAGCUUUUUAUUAGAUUGAAAUUUUAACAUUUAGUUUUUAAUAAAGCUCUCUGCUCUCUCAAGCCUGAUCAGGAUGAUUUCCUUGCUAAUUAAGGGGUUCAAGCUGCGAUUUUCACAAAUUUGAAGAUGCUAAUGCAGGUGAACUCUGCAAUAUGAGGAAUUUUAUCAGUUGUUGAGGCUGUUCGUGUGAUUGUGGACCGACACACAAGUCUUGAAAAAGGGAUAGCUUAUGUAUUGUUCAAAACAAGGGUGUAUGCCUUAUUCUCUGUCUGUGAAACCACUAGCAAGGCUGCUACUGCUGUCCUGCAGCAACUGGCUCGCAAGGCUGCUGCUGCCUCGCAAGGCUGUUGUUGCUGCUGCCUUGCUAGGCUGCUUCUACCCGCUUCUAUGCUCUUGUUGUUCUUAUGGUCUACGCUACUGCUUCUAUGCUCCUUCAGAUGCUGCUGCUAUACUCUACACCACUGUUGCCAAUCAGCUCUACGCUACUGUUGUAAUAUUAUUGCAGUCGAUCUGUUACAAUAUAAAACUAUAUUCUUUUUUUUGAAUUAAAA